UGAUCCUAAAAUGACAACAACAAAUCAUAAUUAAUCCAAUCACAUGUAUGACAAAAUCAUUUGAUUUUGUUUGUGGUUUUAUUCAUUUUUUACGGCCCAUAUUUUGAUUCAAAUUUUUGGACCAGAAAAUUGGGACAAUAUCCGCGAUAUGGUUCCACAACUUCCAUUAUAUCCAUUAGUUCAACAAGAAUUGAAUUCAAUUGCUCGAAGAAUUAUUGUCGUGGAAGAAAUACCGACCGCAAUACAACAUUGGUAUCGAUUGUAUGGUAAUAGUCCACGUUAUAUAACCUUUCGUAUUACUUCAUCUUAUGUCAAAAUUUCUUAAUUCUUGUGGAGGGAAAAAAUGAAUUCACAUGAAAGAAAAACGCAAAAAACCUUUCUUCUUGAAUCAACAACAAAAUUCAAUUUCAUUCUCUUUCAUUAAUAAAAAUGAGAUUUUUUUUUGAACAAAAAACUGUGUCAAUUUAAUUCACUGAAUUUCACAGAAUAAUUCUAUUCCAAUUCCGUGUAUUCGAAACAUCAUUAUAGUGAUCAUUAUCCAUUAUUAUUGAAUAAUAAAUCUGGCAGAUAGAAAUCCAUUUACACAUCCAUAUGAUCCAACUUAUACAUAACAAAUUCCACCAUUUCUUUGGCAUAUCAAUGACAAAAUACGAUUAGAUAACUGGAUGAAAAAAUGGAUUAUUCAUUUUGAAUAAUAUCAACCGUUUAGCAAUUCAACAAUCGGUCGCUUGUGUAGCCACCUGUCGACUUGGAAAAUAAUGAAAACAUAUUCACAUGGUUUCACUUUACAAUUCUUAAUUGAAUUUCAAAUUCGUUUUAGGAAUUUUCAUUUAUGAAUUUAAUUUGCCAAAACCUGUCCAUCGAUAAUCGCUAGAACAAAUGGUAAAAUUAUCAAUCGAAUACAUGAAAUUAAUGAUUUUAAAAUCCGAAAUAAUGGCGAAAAACGUUCCGAAUACGAUACGUUCUCUAUGAAGAGUUCACAUAAUGGUAAUACUUUCAAUAUUGCUUGCUCAUUGUUUACGCUACUCAUUUCUUAAACCGUUUAUUUAUAGCCAGUGAAAUUUUGAUUUGAUUCGAUUUUGUUGUAUUAAAUCAUUUUUAUCAAAUUGAAAUUGAAAUAUUUGUUAAUCUUUGGUGAAAAAAAAUGAAUGCACACCCUCUCAGUUUUUUUUUUGUUUUUGAGGCCGAGCCAGGCCCAAUUAAUUUGGUCAUCCCUCGUCACCUUAAUCGAUUCUUCGAUUUGUAUUUUGAAAUGACGAUUUUUUCUAACCCGCCCCCAUCCGGGUGGUGGGGUAUUCAAAUACCUGAAAACUAUUUUUAUUCUGUACCAUUUCGAGAUCGUCGAAUUCUUCAAAACAUUCGAUUUUAUGUACGACGUGGAAUGGCAUAUACUUUGGGUGGUGAAGAAUUGAACAAUUUUCUACGAUAUGUGACGAUCGCUGAGCAUCCAGCAGAUCUAGUGGUGAACACAGACCACGAACAUCCCAUUGCGACAUUUGUGGAAAUGACCGUUACCACACCCACCAGAAACUAUCCGAUUUUCAAUGGCUAUAACCUAAAUGUCGAACAUCCGAACAAUGUAACGGUUUCACAAAUAGAAUGCCGGUUCGUGAUCAGAUACACUCCAACAGAAAUAAAUUUUCAAGUAUUUGAUCCUGAUGAGGAACUUGAUCAUGGCGAUAAUAUAUAGUGAUAAUAAUAUUUUAAUAUCAUACUCGUCUUCGACGUUAUCGCAUUCGUGGAUGAGGAUGACGAUGAUAAAAUUUUUCAUUCACAAAUAAGAAAAUGUUUCACAUAAUUUCAUUUGAAUAUACGAACUCUGACAAUUUGAUUUGAAGUUUUGAAUUCAUAACAUUGUAUAUAAAUACGUUACUCAUUAUACUCAUAAUAAUACGAAAAACGGCAAACCAUUGACAUUUUCAACAAGUUUAAACAUUAUUGAUUACUUUCUAUAUUUUGAUAUAUAUAAAUA